GAGGAUAUAGCCCAGUUGUAAGCGCAUGCUUAGCGUGCAUGAUGUCCUGGGUUCAAUCCCCAGUAUCUCCA
rnacentral:tRNA from 1 species